CCUACGGGAGGCAGCAGUGGGGAAUUUUGGACAAUGGGCGAAAGCCUGAUCCAGCCAUGCCGCGUGCAGGAUGAAGGCCUUCGGGUUGUAAACUGCUUUUGUACGGAACGAAAAGACUCUGGUUAAUACCUGGGGUCCAUGACGGUACCGUAAGAAUAAGCACCGGCUAACUACGUGCCAGCAGCCGCGGUAAU
rnacentral:rRNA from 1 species